rnacentral:rRNA from 1 species
GGAAUUGCUAGUAAUGGCAGGUCAGCAUACUGCCGUGAAUACGUUCCCGGGCCUUGUACACACCGCCCGUCACACCAUGAGAGUUGGAAAUACCCGAAGCCUGUGAGCUAACUUAAAGAGGCAGCAGUCGAAGGUAGAGCCAAUGAUUGGGUGAAGUCGUAACAAGGUAUC